UACAGAGGUGGCAAGCGUUGUUCGGAAUUACUGGGCGUAAAGGGCUCGUAGGCGGCCAACUAAGUCAGACGUGAAAUCCCUCGGCUUAACCGGGGAACUGCGUCUGAUACUGGAUGGCUUGAGUUUGGGAGAGGGAUGCGGAAUUCCAGGUGUAGCGGUGAAAUGCGUAGAUAUCUGGAGGAACACCAAUGGCGAAGGCAGCUCGCUGGGACGGUACUGACGCUGAGACGCGAAAGCGUGGGGAGCAAACAGG
rnacentral:rRNA from 1 species